rnacentral:rRNA from 1 species
GAUGAACGCUGGCGGCGUGCCUAACACAUGCAAGUCGAACGGAGUCGUUUUGGAAAUCUCUUCGGAGAUGGAAUUCUCGACUUAGUGGCGGACGGGUGAGUAACGCGUGAGCAAUCUGCCUUUAAGAGGGGGAUAACAGUCGGAAACGGCUGCUAAUACCGCAUAAAGCAUUAAAUUCGCAUGUUUUUGAUGCCAAAGGAGCAAUCCGCUUUUAGAUGAGCUCGCGUCUGAUUAGCUAGUUGGCGGGGUAACGGCCCACCAAGGCGACGAUCAGUAGCCGGACUGAGAGGUUGAACGGCCACAUUGGGACUAAGACACGGCCCAGACUCCUACGGGAGGCAGCAGUGGGGAAUAUUGCGCAAUGGGGGAAACCCUGACGCAGCAACGCCGCGUGAUUGAAGAAGGCCUUCGGGUUGUAAAGAUCUUUAAUCAGGGACGAAACAAAUGACGGUACCUGAAGAAUAAGCUCCGGCUAACUACGUG